rnacentral:rRNA from 1 species
CCUACGGGAGGCAGCAGUGAGGAAUAUUGGUCAAUGGUCGGGAGACUGAACCAGCCAAGCCGCGUGAGGGAUGAAGGUACAGAGUAUCGUAAACCUCUUUUGUCAGGGAACAAAGGCGGGGACGUGUCCCCGGAUGAGUGUACCUGAAGAAAAAGCAUCGGCUAACUCCGUGCCAGCCGCCGCGGUAAUACGGAGGAUGCGAGCGUUAUCCGGAUUUAUUGGGUUAAAGGGGUGCGCAGGCGGUCUGUUAAGUCAGUGGGCAAAGCCCGGGGCUCAACCCCGGCCCGCAGUUGAAACUGGCAGUCUCGAGUUGGAGAGAGGUAUGCGGAAUGCGCGGUGUAGCGGUGAAAUGCAUAGAUAUCGCGCAGAACUCCGAUUGCGAAGGCAGCAUGCCGGCUCCACACUGACGCUGAGGCACGAAAGCGUGGGUAUCGAACAGGAUUAGAUACCCGAGUAGUC